AUUACGCUUCUUCUCCUACUUAUCUCAGUUCCCCGCUUCUUUCUCUUCCUCUCUAAUGACGCCUCGCUUUGCUUGUAACAAACGCUUAGUUUAUGCCCUAAUGUCCCCAAGCUGGUUUCACUGUAAUAAAGUCCUGAUUUUUGUUUGAGCUUGACGAAGAGAAAGACACUAAUCUGCGUUCAGCGUUAUAACAGCUUUAGUCUUCAGGUGUUUUUGAUGAACACUCUUAAGCUGUGGUUGCAGCGUUUCUCCACAUCACGUUGAGUUUCUUCUGUCAUAUCUACCGGUUCACUUUACCUUGAUCUAGCUCUAGGUGUUGGAGGUUUGCCAAAGGGAAGAAUGGUUGAGGUUUACGGAAAGAAGCUUCUGGAAAGACAACUCUAGCUCUUCAUAUCAUCAAGGAAGCUCAGAAGCUUGGAGGUUAUUGAGCUUAUCUUGUGUCUAAAGUUGAGGUUUGAUAAUGACGCAAGCGCUCAGAAAAAUACACCACUCAGUUGCCAAUUCUCGGACGCUGAUCGUUUUUCUUAACCAGGUAAGAGAAGUAUUGUUAUGUUGGAAUCAUAUUGUCACACUGCUAAUGAAUUUCCUCUGAUACAGGUUAGAUCACAUGCCAGAUCCAACAUGCGUUUCCCUCAUCAAGAAGAAGUGACUUGUGGUGAAAACGCAUUGCGGUUUCAGGGGCAGCUAUAC